rnacentral:rRNA from 1 species
UUCAGAGGGGACGAACAGUUGGAAACGACUGCUAAUACCGCAUACGAUCUAAUCUCGGCAUCGAGGAUAGAUGAAAGGUGGCCUCUAUUUAUAAGCAUCACUGAAGGAGGGGAUUGCGUCUGAUUAGCUAGUUGGAGGGGUAACGGCCCACCAAGGCGAUGAUCAGUAGCCGGUCUGAGAGGAUGAACGGCCACAUUGGGACUGAGACACGGCCCAG